UAUUUAACAUGCAGCUUUACAGUGUGGUUAGCUAAACCAUGCCUACCUUUGUAGGUUAUUUCCAGAAAGACUUUUCGGUCGUCAGUAAACUUAACUGCUGCAAUUGUCUGUGUCCUUCUGUUGCAUCUUGCAGAUGGGAAGGACUUUAGAGUGACCACUGCUGUUUACCUGGCUUUGUGGCACUGAUGAGACCCAGAAAGAGCGCUCUGAGCACUGCUGCAGCUAUGGAUUACUUCAUUUCCUUCUUGUGCCCGGAUUACCAACUUUCCUCAGACCCUGAAGGUACAGGACACUUCUGAAGUCUCGAGGCAAUGUAAUUAAUCAGCUAUAUGGAGAGAUGGAGUCCCGUUAAACUAUCAGCCACUACUGGCGAUCUGCAGUAGAGCCAUGCUGAUCCUGCAGUACGUGAGGCAGAACUCCCUGUAUGAGCCAUUAAAAGAAGUCAGAUCCUGCUGAGGAGGAGAGGUAGGUCUUGUGCUUAAUGCAUCGAACUGGGAUUCAGGAGGCAGAAGCCGAAUUCCCGCUUCCCUGCCUCAGCCUUGCUGCCUGCCCUUAGGGUUGCCACUUACUAUCUGUGCCUUAAUUGCAAAGUUUCUGCGUGCCUGUGUUGCUGUACAAAGCUGUUUUUUCUUAAAGAGGCAAGAUGUUUGCCACAACAGAGCCCUACGAUCAAGAUAAAGUAUCGUGGUUAAAACAG
rnacentral:lncRNA from 1 species